ACGUCCCCUGUCCCCGCUGUCCAGUCCGCUACAGCUCCACUCAAGAUGUGGUCCCUCGCCGCGUGCCUUCUUUUCCUGGGAAUUAACUCAGCUUCGGCGUCAACUUGCUCCACAUCUCUUCACGGACGUUGCGUCGCGAUCUAUGACGGGUGCCAUGUCGGGGACAGCUACACCUAUAACUUCUGUGGUUUCCUGCAGAAGUGUUGUAUCCCGCCCACCAUAAUUCACAACCACGUCACAACAGCCGCUCCCAGUCACGGAAGCGGAAGUGUCUCAACUAAUGCCGCUUCUUGCGGAACAUCAAUGGUCGGAUCUACCCAUACUAAGAUAGUGGGAGGAACCACUGCAUCGCACGGGGAAUUCCCAUGGCAGGUGUCUCUAAUGUAUGGUGGUAGUCACGUGUGCGGCGGCACACUGAUUGAUUCCCAGUGGGUCGCCACAGCCGCCCACUGCUUCGAAGACUACCACAAUGCCCGAUACUGGACGGUGGGUGUAGGUAUGCACGAUCGCCAUCACGUGUACACGACUCAGGUACAUCACGUGCGUAACUUGAUCGUCCACACCGGAUACAACUCUCAUACAAACCUGAACGACAUCGCCCUGAUGAAACUGGACAAGCCCGUGGACAUUAACACGCAGUACGUGCGGGCGGCCUGCCUUCCUAACGCCCAUGACAGCUUCGACCAGAUGACGUGUACCGUCACUGGCUGGGGCGCCACCUACUUCGAUGAAAAUGGUAACGCCCCUGGUGCUCAGUUUCUAAGAAAGGUUGACGUUCCCACAAUGUCCAACUACCAGUGGAGACAGUGGCGGACCUUUGGUCUGUAAGAAGAACGGAGUCUGGAAGCUGGCCGGUAUUGUGUCCUGGGGGUACGGCUGUGGGGACAGGAACGCCCCCGGGGUGUACACACGCGUCACUUCCUUCCUCUCCUGGAUCAACCAACAGAAGGCCGCCCACCCGUGAUCCCGUCACUACAGAUACUCGCCUUACCUUGCUCUAUAAAAUUCACGUGGUGUAUGUCCUGGGUUUUUUUUAUAUAAACUUAAUAAUUACCUUC
rnacentral:misc_RNA from 1 species